rnacentral:rRNA from 1 species
GAAAAGAAACCAACCGGGAUUGCGUUAGUAACGGCGAGUGAAGCGGCAAAAGCUCAAAUUUGAAAUCUGGUACCUUCGGUGCCCGAGUUGUAAUUUGGAGAGGGCAACUUUGGGGCCGUUCCUUGUCUAUGUUCCUUGGAACAGGACGUCAUAGAGGGUGAGAAUCCCGUGUGGCGAGGAGUGCGGUUCUUUGUAAAGUGCCUUCGAAGAGUCGAGUUGUUUGGGAAUGCAGCUCUAAGUGGGUGGUAAAUUCCAUCUAAAGCUAAAUAUUGGCGAGAGACCGAUAGCGAACAAGUACAGUGAUGGAAAGAUGAAAAGAACUUUGAAAAGAGAGUGAAAAAGUACGUGAAAUUGUUGAAAGGGAAGGGCAUUUGAUCAGACAUGGUGUUUUGUGCCCUCUGCUCCUUGUGGGUAGGGGAAUCUCGCAUUUCACUGGGCCAGCAUCAGUUUUGGUGGCAGGAUAAAUCCAUAGGAAUGUAGCUUGCCUCGGUAAGUAUUAUAGCCUGUGGGAAUACUGCCAGCUGGGACUGAGGACUGCGACGUAAGUCAAGGAUGCUGGCAUAAUGGUUAUAUGCCGCCCG